rnacentral:lncRNA from 1 species
ACACACUUAGUCCAUUGGUGAAUAGAUAGAUAAAUAAAAUGUGGUAUAAACAUACCACGUAAAAGAAGGAAAUCCUGCAUCGUGUAAAAACUUAGGAAUAUUAUUAUGCUAAGUGGACUAAGCAUAUAUAUUGAACUAUAUUGAACUCAAAGGUUCAAACUAUAAAUAUAUAUGGUGUGUGGGAACAGUCAAACAGAAGCAGAGUUCUACUUUGUUGAAGGCGGGGUAGUGAGGAAGGAGCUAAACACAGGAGGGGUGUGGGGGGGAUAGCAUUUCAGCUAUUCAAGAUAAACAGGUUCUGGAGAUCAGUUGUACAAAGUGUGCUGGUAGUAAACAGUGCUGCAUUGUGCACUGAAGAUUUUGUUAACAGGGUCAAUUUUGUGCUCAGUGUUUUAAUAUAUUUUAAGUGCUAUGAAAAAUAAACAAAACUCAACCAAGACUAACUUGGACAAAGGAAAUAAUAAAGAUCACAGCCCAAAUGCAUGACUUUAGACAAAACCAGAAAAUAUAAAAAUGGAAAGAUGACUCUUCAAUAAGACCAAUAUAAUUAAUAAACCUCUAUCUGAGCCAACGGGGAGCACAACAUCGCCAGUAUUCGAAACAACAGAGAUGAUAUCCGCGUGGAAACAUGAAGAACUUCCUGACUACUCUGAUGGCAGGCAGUGUGAGCCUACUGACUUUGCUGUUGCCUCAAGAUGUUUUGCUUCUGGAUUCUCUGGGAACGUGUGUUGUAUUGUGGCCAGGAGCCAGGCUUACUUAGAAACAGGCUACCUUCUUUGCAAUGCAAACAGGCUACCAGGCCCUUAGUGUGACUUUUAUGAUCUAACCACAGACUAUCACGAAGACUCUGCCUGACAGGUCUCAAGGGAAGAGGUGCCCAGAAUGGGUCUGUGCCUUGUUUGCACUCCUGGGCUUUUUGGUUCCCAGGCCAGAUGCCUGCAUUUGAGGCCUUCCUCAGCACCUCUCUCUUCUCUCUCUGGGAAAGAAACAGAGACUGAGGACACUUUUCUCCACACUGGCUCAGUGCCCAACACGUUCUCUCCGCCCUUUCUCCCUUUUCCAGGUCCCCAGCUCUGUACUGUAUCCUACUGGGGUACUUUGGCCUUGAGACCAUUCUCCUCACUGGUCCUGAUCUACCUGACUUACGCCCCAAACUGUUUCUUGGGGUGAAUGAACAGGCUGGGGCGAGAGGGCAGCCUUCUUUUCUAGGUUAUUUUCUUCUUUUGCUGCCCUAGUAAAGGGCUAACGCCAUGUCUGAUACUUUCACCUAGGCUUCUUGUCUUAACCAACGAGCCACUCUGAUACCAGUCGAUUUUGACUCUUGACUUUAUGAAUUACAGAACAGCAUGUCAACUUCUCAAAUAGAAAAAAAGGCUUCUGGGAUUUUGAUUAGGAUUUCAAAUUGAAUCCUUUAAUCAGUUUGGCUAAAACUGACAAUAAAACAGUCCUGCAUUAAUCUUUUAAAUUUCACCCAGGAAUGUUGUCACAGUCUGUCUCUACAUUUGUUGCCAACCUUUGUCAGACAUUUCUUCUCAAGACAGAACCUUACCAUAUUGCUCAGACUGGUCUGAAACUCCUGAACACAACGGCUCCACCUGCCCAGCCUCUUGCUGAGAUUCACAUACAAGGAACUGAGCCAGGGGCUUCCACAUGCUAGGCCAUUGAGCCACACCCCAAGCCUAAUUCACAUUUUAAAAUGCUGCUGUUUAAUUCUGACUGAUUUCUGAUCUAUAAAAACAAUUGAUUUUUUUUUUUUGUAUAUUGAUCUUCUAUCCUAAACAUGGGUAAGGUCAUUUAUUUAUUUUGGCAUCUUUGUGGUAGACUGCACAACAUUUCAUAUUUAAGUGACAGUGUGGUCUGUGAAUAAAGAAGAUUUAUUUCCUUAUUUGCAGUAUGAAUGGCCUUCCUUUUUCUUAGUCUUUUUACAUUGGCAAAACUUCCAAUAACAUGUUGAGAAGUUGAGUAAACAUCCUGUAUGCUCUAAAUCUAAAGGCAGAGGUACUCUCUCUGUUUGGUAAGAUUGUGUGAAAAUCCCACUUUCUGCUGGUGUUAGUGAUAUCAGUUUUGUCACCAUGCAGUUCAGAAUGGACUGAAACUCCCUGAAUCGAUGAAGCUAUGAAGCUGGCCUUAAACUCAUGACCCUCCUGCAGCAACUUUCCGAAUACUGAGAUUACCAUCUAUGCAGCCAGUUUUUAUAAACACCUUUUGUCAUAUUUAAGAAAUUACUAACUUUGCUGAGUUUAUUUUUAAUUAGAAAUCCAUGCUGAAUUUUGUAAAAAUACCUUUUCUGUAUGUACUUAUAUAAACACAUGGUUUCUCUCUUUUAAUGUGUUAAUGUGACAGAUCAGUACAAUGUCUUGAUUAAUGUUGCACUCUGAUGCUGUGAUCUGGAUUAUGUUUUUUCCAAAAUUCAUGGUGCCAGUGUUAACAUCUUGUCUUGGGAGUUGGGCUUUUAAUGCCUGGCUAAGCCAUGAGAGCUCCACCCUGGCAGAUGGGCCCACUACUUAUGCAUCUCAUGAAACAAGAAGACCCUUUCUAUGCAGAUAUUGUUGCCUCUCUACUGGACUUCCCAGCCUCCAAAAAUGUGAGCCAAUAAUUUUUUUUUCCUUUAUAACUUCUGGGCUCCAUGUAUUCUGUCAUAAUAACACAAAUUGACUAGCAUGAGAAUAAAUUAUAGGGCUGUUAGGAUAAACUUGAUUCUCUUUAUUUAUUGACUAUCAAGAUAAUGAACUGGCUAUCAUUCUUAAAAGGUGAUUUAAAAAAUCAUGGUGAAAUCAUUAAUUUAAACACAAUUAUGAAUUAUUCACAAAUUUCAAAACAUUGUGGUUUUUGUUCCAUUGGAGCUCAAAUAGUCGAUAUUUGGUCAGUUUCAGUCUCUCCAUGGAGCCUGCUUAGUCCAUUUGACGUUACUUCAUCAUCCAAAGUGUGCUCUUGUCUGGUAUGACAAGAUGUCUCAGUUCAUCUUACACAUUUUCUUCCCUAAACCAGAAAUCAAUUACUCCAAAAGUCCCAACUGUGUCUGUCAGUUUUAUUUAUUGUAACAAAAUUGGUUGUUGUUACCAGGUCUUUCCAGGUACUUGCUGGUAACUCUGGGUUCCAAUAAAACUUUUUUCACUUGUUUCUAUCUCUUCCCCCACCCUUACCCCUACAAAUCUCAGGAAUAAUGGAUAAAGUAUCUAUGCUCAUAUAUUUGCUUCAUCCUGCAACCCACAUAUAAUAGUUGCUAGGCAGUACUAAAGUCUUAACAUUCUCCCCCUGUUCUAGCAUGACUACUUAAACCUGUAACACACCUCCAUUGUCAGGACAUGGCACACGUGUGCAUUUCAUUCAUUAGUCUUGCUUUAUAUAUAACCUUGGUGACCAUCCACCAUCUAUACUUGCUAGUGGCUUGCAUAGUCAAUCAGGUUGUACGACCCUUGUUUUCUAGUGGAUUCCUUCAGAGGGUAGAAGAGAAGUCCUCUCUAUGGGCUACAUGUUGAACACAGCAGCUUUAUGUUUCUUGGCAACUCAGAAGUAAGUUUAGUUGGGUAUAAAAUUCCUGGUUGUGUUACUUUUAUUUUCCUCUUGCCCUACUCUGACUUUGUUUUCUUUUAGAAGCCACUUAUCGUUUUUUGUAUAGCUACCCUGGGAUAUGUGUUUUCUUUCUUUAAACUAAGUAAUAAACAAGAAUGUCUUGGUGUUGGUUGUGUUCAUAUUUUGAGGUUCACAGUAGUCCCUUUCAAUAUAUAAUCUUAACACCCAUUUUUAAAGUUCAAGUUUAUUUUCAUCAUUUAUUCUCGUGGUGAUAUUGGUUUUCCUCUUCCAUAACUCAUAGUUGAGUCCCUUUAUGUCCCAGAGCUUGCUAUGCUCCUGCUUACCGUCCCAAGUGCUGGGAAUACAAUCGUGUGUGACCAUGCUCUACAUAUCUCCAUUUUUAAACUGAGAAAACUGAUAGUAAUCAGGAAGAUUAUUUAAAUCAUUCAAGGCC